rnacentral:rRNA from 1 species
AUUGAACGCUGGCGGCAUGCCUUACACAUGCAAGUCGAACGGAUCAAAGGAGCUUGCUCUUCUGGUUAGUGGGGAACGGGUGAGUAAUGCAUCGGAACGUACCCAGUAGUGGGGGAUAACGUAGCGAAAGUUACGCUAAUACCGCAUACGACCUGAGGGUGAAAGCAGGGGAUCGCAAGACCUUGCGCUAUUGGAGCGGCCGAUGUCGGAUUAGCUAGUUGGUAGGGUAAAAGCCUACCAAGGCGACGAUCCGUAGCUGGUCUGAGAGGACGACCAGCCACACUGGGACUGAGACACGGCCCAGACUCCUACGGGAGGCAGCAGUGGGGAAUUUUGGACAAUGGGGGAAACCCUGAUCCAGCCAUGCCGCGUGAGUGAAGAAGGCCUUCGGGUUGUAAAGCUCUUUCAGACGGAAAGAAAUCUUCCGGGCUAAUACCUCGGGAGGAUGACGGUACCGUAAGAAGAAGCACCGGCUAACUACGUGCCAGCAGCCGCCGUAA